AUUGAACGCUGGCGGAAUGCUUUACACAUGCAAGUCGAACGGCAGCACGGACUUCGGUCUGGUGGCGAGUGGCGAACGGGUGAGUAAUGUAUCGGGACGUGCCCAGUCGUGGGGGAUAACAUAGUGAAAAUUACGCUAAUACCGCAUACGAUCUAUGGAUGAAAGCGGGGGAUCGCAAGACCUCGCGCGCUUGGAGCGGCCGAUAUCAGAUUAGGUAGUUGGUGGGGUAAAGGCCCACCAAGCCAACGAUCUGUAGCUGGUCUGAGAGGACGACCAGCCACACUGGAACUGGGACAGGGUCCAGACUCCUACGGGAGGCAGCAGUGGGGAAUUUUGGACAAUGGGCGAAAGUCUGAUCCAGCCAUUCCGCGUGCAGGAUGAAGGCCCUCGGGUUGUAAACUGCUUUUGUACGGAACGAAAAGGUCUCUCUUAAUACGGGGGGCUCAUGACGGUACCGUAAGAAUAAGCACCGGCUAACUACGUGCCAGCCGCCGCGGUAA
rnacentral:rRNA from 1 species